CUACGGGGUGCUCCAGUGGGGAAUAUUGCACAAUGGGCGAAAGCCUGAUGCAGCAACGCCGCGUGAGGGACGACGGCCUUCGGGUUGUAAACCUCUUUUAGCAGGGAAGAAGCGAAAGUGACGGUACCUGCAGAAAAAGCACCGGCUAACUACGUGCCAGCAGCCGGGGUAAUACGUAGGGUGCAAGCGUUGUCCGGAAUUAUUGGGCGUAAAGAGCUCGUAGGCGGUUUGUCGCGUCUGCUGUGAAAAUCCGAGGCUCAACCUCGGACCUGCAGUGGGUACGGGCAAACUAGAGUGCGGUAGGGGAGAUUGGAAUUCCGGGUGUAGCGGUGGAAUGCGCAGAUAUCAGGAGGAACACCAAUGGCGAAGGCAGAUCUCUGGGCCGUAACUGACGCUGAGGAGCGAAAGCGUGGGGAGCGAACAGGAUUAGAUACCCCAGUAGUC
rnacentral:rRNA from 1 species